GGAUGUGAGGGUGAUCUGGCUGUGACAUCUGUCACCCCAUUGAUCGCCAGCAUUGAUUCAGCUGAUCUGGCUGACUAGGCAGGUGUCCCUUCUCCCUCACCGCUCCGCGUGCGUCCCUCCAGAAGCUGUGCGCUAGGUCGAAGAGGACAACCAUCCCCAGAUAGAGGAUAGAGGAGGACCAUUCUUAGGUCAAGGGUAUACAAGUAGCUGUGCUCUCCUGCUAAACCUCCAGAACAAGCUCUCAGGUGGGAAGGGGAAGACUGGAGACACUUUCAAGCUUAAUUUUUGCCUCACUAUUUUGUUUAAUUACUAUUAUUGGUGGCAGAGGUA
rnacentral:snRNA from 1 species